CUCCCACGAGGCCGCCGACCUUCUCGGGCCGGGCGAGGCCGCAGGGAAGGCGGCCCGUGCUGAGCGUCCCCGGCGUCCCCGCGUCGCAGCUGAGGGCCAGCGGCUCCCCGCGCCGCACGAGGGGCGCAGCCCUCGAGCAGAGUCGGGGCACCCGUGGGGCGGGUCCCGGGCUCCGGGAAUGCGGGCGGGCGAGGGAGGCCUGUCCGCCGGGAGGACCUCGCUGGAGCUGCGGCACGCGGCGGGCCGAGCGCCGCUCUGAGCCCGAGGGGCCCGGCGGACCCGGGUUCCUCAGCAGCCGGAGCGCCAGCUCUGGCCUCGCCUGCCCGCCAGAGCCGUCCUUGGGAACCCGGCUCUGCGCACCUCUGGCGCCUUUGGUACCCGGGCUGCGGGCCGCGGUCUCGGGCGCCCUCUCCAGGCCUCCGGGCGAGCUGCGGGCCGGAGCCCGGCCUCUACCGGGGCGGAGACCGGGGACCCCGGGGACCGGGAUGGGCCGCCCGGGGUGCAGCGAGGCCGCAGCGUCCGCCGGAGUCGGAGAAGGAGGCAAUGAGAGGCUGUGAGCCUCGGGCUUCUGGGGCGCUUUUGGAGCUGCUUAGCAAGGUCUCCAGACCGCAUCGUCCUUAGCCACAGCUGGUGAUCGCUCCUGCAAGGCAGGGGAACCAGGCUUCCGGACGGGGCUGAAGAGUAAACCGCGGCACGAAUUAAAAUGCUGUUUCUUUUCUCCCAAGUUAGGAGCUCUGGUUUGGGAGACACAGUAAGUUGCCUGGAUGCAUUCUAGAGAAGGUAUAAAACAUCAAGAAGAAAGGAAGAUCUUACUAACCAGAGAGAGAAGAUAGAUUAUCUACAUGGGAUUGGCAAAACGAUAACAGAUCUCAACUGCUGCAAAAUAAGCCAGAAUCUACAUAAUACCUUCAGAUGCUGACAGAAAAUAAUUAUCAAUGUAUCAUUUCAAAAUCAUAAAGCUAUCAUUAAAUAAUGAGUAUUUUAAAAAGUUUUUUCCUGACUGCUAAAUUAAUAAUAUCACCAUUAACAUCAGACUAGUAUUAACUGUCUUUCAUUAAAAGAAUUUCUACAAGAUGUACUUCAGGAGGAGGAAAAUGAUACCAGAAGACAGAGGGACUUCUGGAUGAGAUGAACAUUUAUCUUAGUUACUUUUCUCGUUGCUGAGAUAAAAAAUACUCAACAUCAAAAGUUAAAGGAAGAAAGGUUUAUUCAGCUCCCAGUUUGUGGAGACAUCAGUCUAUAGACAGCUGGCUCCAAGGCAGAGAAGCCUGACGGGAGAAAAGGUCCAUGGCAGGCAGAGCAGGCAGAAGGCAGCAAGCAGCAGCAGUAGCCAUCCUGCCUUUCCUCUCUCUCUAUCCAGGCUUUAAGCCUAUUGAUUGGUGCCACCCACAUCGAGGGUAGGGCUUCCAUUAUCCACACCCUUAAUCCAAGGAUCAUGUCCUUAAUCCCAGCUACACACUGUUAAUCCCAGUAUCACACUCAACCCACAUUCACCCUAAUCCAGCCACCUUUGAAACCCGCCCCCCCCAUGACUUCAUGAAGCUUUGUAUGUACAAGUAGGAGGCAGACUAAGCCUCUCAUUCCAAGGAAAUUUUUCUCAAAUUAUUCUAGUCUGUGGCUACCAAAUCCUGGGGCUGUGCAUAGCAGACAAGCACUCUGCCCUGAGCUAUGUGCCCAGGCCACAGGAGCCACGGCAGGUCUGAUGUGGCUCCUCUGCAUCACGUUCCACCGCCCUGCAGUGGAAACAGCAGGCAGGCUCACAGCACCAUCCUUGCCAGCCAAGACUGUAAGUGAAGUUUGUUUGCUUUUACCACAUCAAGUGGAGGCUGCUAUUUACUGGCCCUGCAGUAUGGACACACUGAAGAUCCCCUCCUUGGAUCAUAUUGGCCAAAAAGAUGAAGGUCAAAAGGUUAAAUGAAGCUGGGCCUGGUGGUGCAUGCCUGUAAUCUCAGCAUUCUGGGAGGCUGAGACAGGAAGAUCACAAGUUUGAGCCUGGCCUGGUUAAUUUAGUGAAUAGUAAGAUCCUAUCUCAAAAAUUAAAAAAGGGUUGGGGCUGUAGCAUGGGGUGAAGGCUCUUGGGUCAAUUCCUGGGGUCACAAAAUGAGCAAGCAAGCAAACAAGCAAAUACCAAACCGAAACAAAAAAAUCCUCAUUGUUGCAGAAGACUAAAUGGUGUGUUCAGUCAGACAGCAUGUUGGAGGUGGGAAAGGCAGACGGGCCUGCGUUGUUUGGCGGGCUGGGUUCUAGCCUGACUGUGCUGCUUCUUGUUGUUCCAGAUUUGGACAAAACACCCAGGGUUGCAGUGUCUUCUGGCUCUUACAUAUAAAAUACAUUGGCAACACCUUUCCUCUGAUGACAGAGAAGUAAAACACCAGUAUUUAGAGCAGUACUGUGAACCUCAUGUUUUACUUAAUUAUUAUUGGAACACUGCCAAAGUCUACUAAUUAAUGGCAGUGUGGAAGAGAAGAGCUCCAGGAAAGGGAUGAAUUGAUUGAUCUGGGUACAUUGUCUCUCGAAUGUAUUCAACUGAAGACUAUAUCCUUGGAUAUGUACUAAACAUACAAAAAUCAGAAGCCAAAACUUCAUAUCAGUUAACAGGAAAAUUGUUCGAUAUAUGCAGUACAAUGGAAUGGAAAGCAGUAUUUUAAUUACACCAUAUGUAUUUGGUUAAAUAAGAGUAUAAUGUUGCUAUGAACUUUUCUCAUGGUCUUGCAAUUUGCUUUACAUUUCUUUCAAUAGUGCUUAGUAUUUUGGAUAUGUACACUAUGGCAGUUAGAGUGGAGUGACAACUUUAAAAGCUUUUAAAAUUAAUAUAUAUUUGUGCUGCAUAUUAAUUACAUUUAUCUUGGGGAGCUGGUAUACAUUUAUAUUGCAUUUGAUCAUUCUUAUUCCCCCUCUGCUCUUUUUUCCCCAGAUCCCUUUGCAUCUACACAGAGUUUAUAUCCGUGUUUCUUACCAUCUCUCUUAUUUUGCUCUUUAAGUUAUAUAUUUGGGUCUCAUACUAGAGAAAUACCGAUUAUGUUUGGGCUCUGCCUUGGGGGAGUGGUGGAGCACAUAGUGGGUGUAUCUGAGAGGGCCCUGGAGGCGUGACUUAAAGUCUUUGUCUGGUCCUCUUACACCUUCCUCUCUGGCACUGUUUUCCUGCCCUGCUUCCUAGCCAUUGUGAACUGAGCAGUUUUGCUAUGUCAUGUCCCAUGGCAAUGACUUUUCUCCUUGGGAGCCAACUCACCAUGGACUGAAUCACCUGAGUCAAAUUAAACUUCUCCUUCUUCAAACUGUGAGUAUCAAUAGGAGAAAACUGACUAAUACAGGAAAUUGAUACUAGAGAAGUGGGGGUCAUUGCUGUGACUGUACCUGGUCAUGUGGUUUAGAAGCCUUUGGAACUGGUUUUCAGGAGGGGUUUGGAAAGAUUUGGAGAUGUAGGCUGGAGAACACCUAGUAUGCUGUAAGCAGAGCUUGACAGGUGAUCCUGGUUGGAGCUCAGAAGAUCAGAAUGCUGAUAGGAAUGCAGCCAGGCUCAGAAGGUUUCAGUGAGAACAAGGACUCAUUGGCAAUUGGAAGGGAUGUCAUACAUGAUACACACUGGCAGAAAAUUUGUCUCCAUUUCUCCCAUGUCCAGAGAUUUCUCUGGGGACAAAACUGUGAGUGCUGGGCUGAUGCACCUGCUGGAGGACAUUUCAAGAUAGCCCAACAUUCAGGUUGUGGCAUAAGUACUGCUGGCUGCUUUGGGCCAGAUUUAUAGUGAGAACUGGGGCCAAAUACCAGAGCAGAAAAAAUGGAAAAAUUUAAAUUUUAGCCCAGAAAAAAAAAAACAUGUGUAAAGUUGAGGCCAAAGAAGUGUGGUUGCUGAAGAGAUUAGUUCCACAAAAAGAAGCUAAGCACUUUGUACAGGCACAGGAAAAAAGAUGCCUUGAGGACAUCUCAGGACUCAGGGAGGCCCUACCCAUCACAGGCUCAAGGGUACAAAAAUAUAAACUUUACAUUUGAAGAGUCCCUGGGAGACCUGCUUGAGAAAGGCCUCAAUGAAAUUAGUUUCCUGGAAUUCAUUUCACUGUGUUCUGGCUUUGGAGUCUAUGUCUAGUCCUUCGGCCCCAUCCACUCUGCACUGUUCCCCUGCUCUGCUUCCUAGCCACCAUGAGCUAAGGAGCUCCGCUCUGCCAUGCCCUUCUGCCAUGAUGUUUCUGCUUUGAAGCCAGCUUGCCAUGGACUGAAGCCCCUUAAACUGUGAGUCACCUAAAGAUUUUCCUCCUUUAAUUUGUGGUGUCAGGUAUUGUAUCUAUAAAUGAGGAAUGUGACUAAUACACACACCAAAAAGGGAAAAAGUAGAAGGUGGGAUCAUAAGGGUUAACUGAAGCGUGCUGAAAACUAAGCAGAGGCUGAAUGUUAUCAUCCACAACCCAUGAAUCAGAAUGAGUGGUAGAAUCAGGGAAAAUACUUAUUGCAAAAUAUGCAGCACAUUUUUGGGCAGGGUACUCACCAGCAAUUUAAAAAUAACUGAUAGCUGAUUGAUGAAUAGUAUCUAACACAUGAAAAAUCUGUGUUCCCAUUUCCUGAGCAUGGCCACAUGGUAGUUGAUUGUGUGGCUGAAGCAGGACUUGCUGAUUUGCAAGUGAUGACAUGGACAUCAAGCUGCACUCCAUGCCAUUCAAAUAAUUCUUGUUUACUUCCAGACAGGAUCUGUAGAUACUCAUCAUAGCAGGGACCAAAAUUCUAGUAAUAGCAGCAGCUGCAAUUGAAAAUCAGUUGCAGAAUUUGAUCCACAGAGAAAAACUUUUCAUCUGAUCUGCACAGAGUUCCUGUGACACAGAGGAAAAGCUACACUGAUGAGGAGCAGGGAGCUGAAUGAUGAGAACAAGGGGCAGGAACACUAUGGGUCUUUCCCUGCUCCACAGUCCAACCUCACCCCCAUGCUCACCUUACCCCAGGCUCACUGGCUUCCUUGCUGUCUCCACAAGCCAGUUGUGCUGCAGUGCUACUCCAGAUACCAGGGGGCCUCUGCAUGCCCCAGCAAUCUGGUCAUGUGUGACUCCAUCCCACAAGCUUGCCCAGUGGUCCCAUAUAGAACGACCCCUCUGUCAUCCAUAUCAAUGCUCAUCUCUUCAGCUAUUUUAGUUGGCGUUACUACCACGUGAUAUAUUGAAUUUUUUAACUUUUCCCUUUAAAGCACAAGCCUUAUGAGAACAAAUUUUGUCUCUGUCUUGUUUGUUGCUACAUUUCAGAAGUUACCAUGCCUGGACUUAAAUUACUGGAAUAAGAGCAGGGUUCCAGGUCUUCCUCAUUGUGCUGAUAUGGGCUGGUCUGUCAGUGAUCUGUGACAUUUCCCGAGCUGGGCGUAGUGGUGCGUGCCUGUAAUCCCAGCACUUGAGAGGCUGAGGCAGGAUUGUUGGGAAGUUGAGACCAGCUGGACUACAUAGCUAGACUCUGUCUCAAAACAAGCAAGCAAGCAUUUCCUUUUUGGCACUUGGAAAGCCUUUGGGGUCAUCAGUCUUUACCACGUGUCUGCAAGUUUGAGCUGCCCUUCCAUGCCAUGAGUCAGGGCUCAGGGAGAAAGCACCACUUUUUCACCUCUUCCAUGCAUUGAAGUCUCUUUUCCCUCUCCCCAUGGGCUUCAGGUCCUUGCUGGGUCCCCGAGACCCACUUCCCUCCUGCUUCUCCCCCUCACAUUGUUAUAUUCCAGUGUCUGGCCACCAGAUCUGAGAGAGGCUGUUUUUCUGCUGCUCACCAGCAGCAUCUACCACCUUCCUGAAAGUCUUGGGAUCACACAGUUUAAAGCUGCCUCACAGGUCACGCAUGCUGAGGAAUGAGGGACAUGAAGAACUGGCCGUGCCACGUUGUCCUGGAGCUGGUAGCUGGGCUUCUGUGCAGACUGGGUGACAGGCAGGUGGGAGGAGAAACAGGACCCAGUCCCUUCACCUCUAGUGACACAGAGGGGCAGCAGCCUGAGCAGCACUAGUGUUGGAGUCACAGCGCUGCCCGGCGUGGUCCACUGUCAGCUCAGCCUGCUGCUGACGCCUGGAGAGCUCAGUGACCUCCCUCUCCAGCAGGAGCGACUGCAACUCUUGGAUGGAAUAGGGCAUGCUUGGGAGGGAGUGUUCAGAGCACAUAUCCUGGUUUCUGUAGACUGAAAAAUAAAACUGCCUUAAAGCAAGUUCUGAGGCGUGGUUUAUAUGUUGGCAUCCCCAAGAGCCUCACAUGUUCAUGGCAAGGCUUUUGGAAGAGGACUGGGGCAUGGGGACUUGUAGGUGACUUGUCGGGAGGUGGGCUCUGGUCAGAAGUGGUCUGAGGCUUGGCCUGGAGGGAGGUUCUCUUCCCCGCUCCUACCUUUGCUCUCUGCUUCUCGGCUGCCGCGAUGUGAGCAGCAUCCCUCUGGAGGCCCUCCAUCACACCUUCCUGCCCGGGAGCAGGUCACCUAUGAACCGAAAAUGUCUCUCCUCCUUGAAGUUAGGGGAAUUGGGUAUUGUGUCCCAGAAACAAGAAAGUAAUGAAGACAUAAGGUGAGUCACAAUAUUCAACCUUCCUACUUCCCCACAUACCUGAGGCCACUUCAGUGGGCAUGAGCAUUGGCUCCGUGAGUAACUACAGCCUGUUUAGGGAUGCAACUGGAUGCCACAGGAAGUAGCACAGAGAAAACCCCAUGCUGCACAGGGACAUCCGCUAACCCCACACUCUUACUGUGCUGCUGAAGAACGAAAGUUGGUGCCGCCGCCUCCUAAGGGGACGCUGUGGAUAGUUACUACUGCCUGACUAAAGGAAGUUAAGCCCGAACAGCCUGGCUGCCAGGAAGCCCUCCCCUUGACUCACACUUGUUUUUGGCAGUGCAGAGGAGUUGUGGUGCCAUAGGUUAUGGGGUGUGUGGUCCCCCCACCUGGCUGUCUUCCUGCUAUUUGUGUUCCAGAAGCAAGUGAACAUUCUCGGCUUCCCCAAAGCACCCGAUCAUAAAGAAGAACGUCUAUGGCCAGCACCUGGGAUGUGGACAGACUGAUGUGUUCUACACUAAGUGAGAAAACUAAUUGUGGUAUCAACUUGAAUAAGAAAAUCCCAGCUGAUUUGUUUAACAGAACUCUGGGUGUGGAUGAAGAGGGAAGACUCACCCACCAAUAGGCUUGCAGCCUGGAUGGAAUAAAAAGGGAAAGAAGAGGGAAGUCUUUCCUUUUUGCUUCAAAGGAGGAGCGCCAGUCUUUGCCAGUCCAUCUCUAGGCUUCCAGUGCCAACUCUUCAGCCUGCAGUGUAGACUCUUUGGCUUCCUGAGGCAGAAUCCAGUGAGACUCUGCAGUGAGCUCCAGCCCUUCGACCUUUGCCUGCAUCCUCCGGCUCUCCAGCAUGCAGAUGGCCUUUCUGUACUCCUCCACAGCUGCUUCUGCAAGUAGGCAUUGUGAUGGCUGAGUGACAGAAGCUGCGCUUGUCCCCAGGAGACCUCAGCUGGAGCCACUGGGACUCUGAAUUCGAGAGCCAGUACAGAAAUAGUUUUAGGUGUUACAACAACAGGCGGAAAACUCCAGUUCCAAGAAAGUGCUACCGAAACUCUGCCUCCUUUCUCUCACCCACAAGCCAAGCCAUGGCUUUGGCCCAGGCAAAAGCAGCCAGCACUGCCUCGGGCCUGCUGCACGGUGGCAGAAAAAGUUCACCUUGUCUCUGCCUGGAAUCGCAAGUAGUUCGGACCCUGGUGGUAAGUUCAAACGUUUGCUUCUGUAAUAGUUAAGCUACAGUGAAAUAACUCCAUUUUCACUUUCUCUGUCAAAUUUAUAUCUUAGAGUUUAAUGGACAUAAAAGCCUGCUGAUGUGCAAAUAGCACUCCUUUCCUCGCCUCAUAACUUAAAACUUACUCUGAACACAUAUUUAGUGAGCAUUUGAUAAUGAAGCUUAAACAAUAUUCUACGGAAAGACAGAUUUCUAACUGCUCAUCAAGAUGCCAUAAUACAUAUUCACGUAUAAUUUCUAUAUUCAGUAUAUACACCUGUUCUUUUAGAGGGCACCAUGUUAAGAAAGAUAAAUUUCAAGACAAAUUCAAAUUGCCUUCCAAGUAGUGCUCCUUUCAAAAGCAGUCUUUGCUAAUUUUGUGAGAGAGACUCCCCCAUACAUGUUUCCCUUUGUAAUUUCUACAUUACAAUUUAUUAGAAGAAAACAAACCAGUAGCACUGCACGACGAUAAUCUCAGCACUCUGGGAGACCGAAGCAGGGGGGUCGCAAGUUGAAGCCCAGGCUGAGCAAUUCAGUGACUUAGUUAGAUCCUGUUUUAAAAAUGAGAACAGAAAUUUAAGAAGACCUGAGGAUGUAUCUCAGGGUGAAGCCCUGGUUCAAAUCCCUAGGACCAGUGGGCAUGGAGGUGCAGCCUGUGAUUCCAGCACGCAGGAAUUGGAGGCUGGAGGGGCGGUGGGAGUUCGAGGCCAGCCUGGGCUACGUAGUGAGACCCUGUCUCCGAAACCAAAAAGAAAAAUAAACCCAGUACCACAAAAUUGAGUAAGUAAGUGAACCAAUAAAUCAAGAAGAAGACGAAGAAGAAACAGUCCUCAGAUUUAUAAACUUACAAACCCGACUUUUUAACAGUGGAGCUUCUGGCCUGUGAACCUAGCCGGAAGCAGGACCCUGCGUCACAGGCACGGGGGCAUGGCAGGCUCGGUGCGGGAAAGACCCCGCCGGAUGGAGCCGCGUGUGGAGCUGCCCGAGUCAGCACCACAGACGUGAGCAUCUGGAGCUUCUCCUCGGUGGGGACCCUCCCUUCCACCAGGCUCCCCUGGACAGUGGUCUUCUGCAGGGCCCCAGGCUCCCAGCCCGUCCGAAGCUCAUUGGAAGAACUUCCUGGCUUCUUCCCGUGCACGUCCUUCGCGCACACUGCACCCGGUUCUCCGCUUGCGCUAGCGCCGGUCCACUGAGGUGGGCGGACUUGUCUCACAGCAGAGACUCCGAGGAUCUUCGUGCAGUCCUGGGGACUGGGGCCACUUUGGGCUCCCCGGUCUUGGUAGAUGAAAUCUCUUGAUCUGCAAUCAAGAUGCUUAUUACUUCAUUCAGAUGUGCAUUCAAGUACCGAGGAGCUAUCAUGGGAAUCUAAGUAACAGAGCAUCUGAUCUUGAACAUCAGAAAUCCUACAAAGGGGCUCGGGGAUUUAACCCAGUAAUGCCGUGGCUGCCUCGCAGGUGUAAGGUCCUGAGCUCAAUCCCUGGUACAGAACAAAACAAAACAAAACAAAUUCUACAAAGGGAAAAGGGUAAGAAGGAGAAGAAAAGGAGACUGAAAGUUAUAUGUAUGUACUGCUUCUCCAAAACAAAUAUAAAUACUGUGUAUUACAAACACAUGUCAAUAAAAAUUUAAAAGGCCAAAAACUAUUCCUACAAAGAAGGUAAAGGGAGGGCCUGGAUUUAGCUCAGUGAUGCCGCCGCCUGCCUCGAAAGCGCAAGGUCCCGAGUUCGAUCCCUGGUACCAAAAAGAAAAGGUAAAGGAUAAUUCCAGAGUACUUGGUUAGUCAAGUUAAUCCGUGUGUGUGUGUGUGUGUGUGUGUGUGUGUGUGUGUAUUGCUGGGGAUUGAACUCAGGGCCUCCUGCACGCCAGGCCAGUGCUCUCCCCCUGAGCUACAGCCCCAGCCCCAGCCUGGUUCCAGCAUAUUUCCUUUAAGAGCUGAGACUUCAUAGAGCAGAGGUCUGGCUUGCAGUAGACACCCAGGAGAGGCAGCCAGCUGCUCCUGAGGUAGCAGAAGCAUAGGCUAAACCAUCCGAAUGAGGGUAAAUGACUCAAUCAGAGAAAACUGCCAAACGGCCUACAUAGCUUUUCAGUGCUUGCCUUGGCCCAAAUGUAGCCUCCGAUUGAUACUCAAUUUAGCAGGGGUUCUGGAGGCUAGUUUUGCCCAGAAUUGAGCCAGAACAUGAGCCAAAAUGUUUUACUUCACCUCUGAAGACUGUGAGCUGACUUCUCACUCUCGGAGUUUUCUCCCCAGAGACAAAUACAGCAGCGAUUCUCACCUGCAAGACCUGACGGUGACAAGGCCACAUGUUGAUGCCAUGCACAGGCACGCACAGAAGCACCAGGGCUGUAAACUCGGAGGUCACUGCCUGGAAUCCUGCUGCACCACGCUCUGUGUAGCAGUGUUCACUUAGUUCUCAGUUUGUAAAAUGGGGAUGACACCUGGCAGGGCUGUUGGAGAUUGGCGAGUUAACGCCUGUUAUUUGUUUCCCUGCAGUGCUGGACACACGUAAGGCCCACGACACGGUAGCUCUUACAGAUCACCUCUGUUUGUCGGGACUGAGAACAAAUUUUGAAUACAUAUUUAAGGCAGCUUCUAAAAGAGGGCACUAGAGAGCUCCAGUGGGAAUGAAGAUCAAGAGGAGACAGGUCUGUGGCUGAAUUGUGUCUAGAAAACAUGGAGAAAGACCAGAAAAAGCUUGAAGUAAAUACACACCUGGAGUUUUCCCACUAGAUCAAGUUCUUAAAGGUUUGUCUUAUCGAUCCACACAGCCUUGCCAAGCACUUCACACUGGAGCUGACGAGCCAUCUAUUAUUGGAAGGCUUAAAAGCUCUCUAGAGGGCCAGGGAUUUAGCUCAGUGGUUCCACCACCUGCCUUGCAAGCGGAAGGACCCGAGUUUGAUUCCUGGUACCAGAAAAAAAAAGUUCUCUAGAGUUGGGAGUAUAGCUCAGUGGUAGAGUGUGCGAGGCCGCAGGUCCAAUCCCCAGCACCAAAAUGAAUGAAUCAAUGAGUGAAUGAGUGAAUGAAUACUGUAAUAUUGAAAUCGAGUAAUGGGAGAAUGGCUGGAGAGUUGACAGGGACAUUGACACGGCAACAUAACUCAUGUGAUAUAUGAAACUGAAGGACCCUGGUUAGCGAGACAGACUCCAUAUUGCUGCUGAACGACCCACCUGCCUGCCCUUUGGAUGAACUCAGAAGGAGGAAGCUUAGAAACCUCCUCCCCUUAGAGAGUCUCUUAGAAACAACAAUUAAUCAAUUAUUGUUUUACAAGACGUUCGGCUUCCAUAGCUUUCGCUUGCUUUGCUAGUUCUAUCCCAUAGGGGGGCCUAGAAACUGCUGGCCUCAAAGGUGUAUAAAACAUGUUAAUCUCCCCCAGUCGGGACUCGAGUCCGAUGCUCGGCUCAGGUCCGGCUGGUAAUAAA